CAAGUUCAUACAAAGCCAUGACACACCCGCAUAACAAUUGAGCCGCUAGCACUUAGCGACAAACACACACAAAGCCUAUCAUGCUUCAUCACUUGGGGGCAAAAGCGACAAAGCAGCUUCAACUUUCCAUGACGGACCAUUACUCAAAGCCACCAAAGAAAACGCCACCUACGCAUAACUGUCUCCAACAGACGGAAGGCAAACACGAGAGCCAUUCCAGGCUUUGGGUGGCGCACAGUGAAAUGGAUAACACCCCAAAUCUCUCCUUCUCCAACAGCUACCGCAAGCAGAACACCCAAACCCGCGCGCCGUACCAGCCGCUCGCAGCGGGCACGCCGCGCGCUACCUGCUCCGCCGCUCCCGCCGCCGCCGCGCCGGCUCCAGUGACCAUCAUCAGGGCAACAGCAGCGGCAGCAGCGUACGCGUGUCGGUGGAGGACCCGGAGAAGCCGCCCGUGGAGCUGGAAGCGCCCCCGCCACCGCCGUCCGCGUCAUGCCGGUCAUGGAGGAGCGGAUCCUGCCGGAGCAGGGGCCCGCGCCACGCGUCGGUGGUGGCCAGGGCGCCGCCUCGCGCCGUUGGUGGAUGGAGCUCGGAGCCGGGGCCGCCUGGAGCGCCGCUCGCCGUCCCGCCUGGAGCACCGCCCGGCUGGAUCUCGCCGUCCACUGAAAAUUGUAGUGAAGGUGGACUAUUCUUUUUUGGCGAAUAAUGCUGGGCUAGUUUUCUACUACUAGUAAAUAUCAACCGGGGAAAUAUACCGGCUGUAUAAUUGCUGGAAUCCUUUUUUGUACCAACGAAAAGGAUUCCACCAAUUAUACCAGCCCACCUUGGAGAACAUCCUGAACAUCGAAAAGAUCAAAAGCACUACAAAGACACCCAGCAAGGUUCAGCUCUCUUCCAGGAAAAAAUUCCCAUCAUUGUCACGAAGCCUUCAAGUGAAGUACUCACACUGCUAGAAAAAGCCACAUUCGUCCGCGGCCCACUAAUAUAAGGCAGCCAGACUUUACCAAAGAAUAUGAGAAGCAGAAGGCCUUCUGGGACGAGUUCAAGGCAUACAAGCUAUCAGAGGAGGCUAAGGCAUUGAGCGCUAAGAAUAAAGAGAACUCGGACAAGAACAGAAAUCCACAUCGUCUAGGCUCACGUGGCUACAUUCACCAGUUGCCAAAAUGGGACGCGCGACUUGCAGAAUUGGCAAAGGACGGUGUGACUCCCGUUACCAGCGAUUGGCAGCUCAGAGCGGUACAAUUCCUGCUGGCUAGAGGGGCAAAGUUCCAAGAUGAUGGUACACUUUCUGUACCAAAUACGGACGUGGGCCAAGGGGUGGGAACUAAACAUCCGAAUUUUCGAACAAAUUUGAUAUUUUAAAAUAGAUAUGCUUGAAAUUUUAUGCUAAUUUUUUUUAUAUUAUCAAACAUAUUAUUACACAUAAGAAUAAAAUUUUGUAUAGAUUUUUUUAUGCAUUAUUUGCUCCCUACAAUUAAAAAGGUGAAAAAACAUCCGUAUCCGUUUCUGAUCCGUAUCCGAAUUUUUAUAUCUAUUAUUUGAGAAUAUAUAUGAUAAAUUUGAUGUUUAUUUUUUAUGAAUCUUUACAAGAUCAAUGUUAAAUACAAGGCUAUGAAUUUACGUAGUAAAUUUUAUAUCUUAUUUGUCCAUAAUCGAAGAAAAAUGAUCAAAAAUCUGAGAUCCGAAUAGACAUCCGUUUCCAUAGUGGCUUUUAGAACUAGCCAUUACAGACCUUUUCGUUAGCAUAUUAACAUUCAGAUUGAAUUCAUAUAAUAACGUCCGUUGGAAAUAGUAGAACUCCAAAGAUGCUCAAGAUGGAAAACAACCGUCCACUGAAAAUUGUAGUGAAGGUGGACUAUUCUUUUUUGGCGAAUAAUGCUGGACUAGUAGAAAAUAUCAACUGGGGGAAUAUACCGGCUGUAUAAUUGCUGGAAUCCUUUUUUGUACCAACGAAAAGGAUUCCACCAAUUAUACCAGCCCACCUUGGAGAACAUCCUGAACAUCGAAAAGAUCAAAAGCACUACAAAGACACCCAGCAAGGUUCAGCUCUCUUCCAGGAAAAAAUUCCCAUCAUUGUCACGAAGCCUUCAAGUGAAGUACUCACACUGCUAGAAAAAGCCACAUUCGUCCGCGGCCCACUAAUAUAAGGCAGCCAGACUUUACCAAAGAAUAUGAGAAGCAGAAGGCCUUCUGGGACGAGUUCAAGGCAUACAAGCUAUCAGAGGAGGCUAAGGCAUUGAGCGCUAAGAAUAAAGAGAACUCGGACAAGAACAGAAAUCCACAUCGUCUAGGCUCACGUGGCUACAUUCACCAGUUGCCAAAAUGGGACGCGCGACUUGCAGAAUUGGCAAAGGACGGUGUGACUCCCGUUACCAGCGAUUGGCAGCUCAGAGCGGUACAAUUCCUGCUGGCUAGAGGGGCAAAGUUCCAAGAUGAUGGUACACUUUCUGUACCAAAUACGGACGUGGGCCAAGGGGUGGGAACUAAACAUCCGAAUUUUCGAACAAAUUUGAUAUUUUAAAAUAGAUAUGCUUGAAAUUUUAUGCUAAUUUUUUUUAUAUUAUCAAACAUAUUAUUACACAUAAGAAUAAAAUUUUGUAUAGAUUUUUUUAUGCAUUAUUUGCUCCCUACAAUUAAAAAGGUGAAAAAACAUCCGUAUCCGUUUCUGAUCCGUAUCCGAAUUUUUAUAUCUAUUAUUUGAGAAUAUAUAUGAUAAAUUUGAUGUU